AGUGAACGCUGGCGGUAGGCCUAACACAUGCAAGUCGAACGGCAGCACAGUAAGAGCUUGCUCUUACGGGUGGCGAGUGGCGGACGGGUGAGGAAUACAUCGGAAUCUACUUUUUCGUGGGGGAUAACGUAGGGAAACUUACGCUAAUACCGCAUACGACCUACGGGUGAAAGGAGGGGAUCUUCGGACCUUGCGCGAUUGAAUGAGCCGAUGUCGGAUUAGCUAGUUGGCGGGGUAAAGGCCCACCAAGGCGACGAUCCGUAGCUGGUCUGAGAGGAUGAUCAGCCACACUGGAACUGAGACACGGUCCAGACUCCUACGGGAGGCAGCAGUGGGGAAUAUUGGACAAUGGGCGCAAGCCUGAUCCAGCCAUACCGCGUGGGUGAAGAAGGCCUUCGGGUUGUAAAGCCCUUUUGUUGGGAAAGAAAAGCAGCAGGUUAAUACCCCACUGUUCUGACGGUACCCAAAGAAUAAGCACCGGCUAACUUCGUG
rnacentral:rRNA from 1 species